AGUCUUACUGACGUUCAUGCUCGAAGGUGCGGGUAUCGAACAGGAUUAGAUACCCUGGUAGUCCGCACGGUAAACGAUGGAUGCCCGCUGUUGGCGACACACAGUCAGCGGCCAAGCGAAAGCAUUAAGCAUCCCACCUGGGGAGUACGCCGGCAACGGUGAAACUCAAAGGAAUUGACGGGGGCCCGCACAAGCGGAGGAACAUGUGGUUUAAUUCGAUGAUACGCGAGGAACCUUACCCGGGCUUGAACUGCAGCGGAAGGAUACAGAGAUGUUGACGCCCUUCGGGGCCGCUGUGGAGGUGCUGCAUGGUUGUCGUCAGCUCGUGCCGUGAGGUGUCGGCUUAAGUGCCAUAACGAGCGCAACCCCUUUCUUCAGUUGCCAUCGGGUGAUGCCGGGCACUCUGGAGACACUGCCACCGCAAGGUGUGAGGAAGGUGGGGACGACGUCAAAUCAGCACGGCCCUUACGUCCGGGGCUACACACGUGUUACAAUGGGUGGUACAGAGAGAUAGUGCUGCGCAAGCCGCAUUGAAUCAUGAAAUCCAUCCUCAGUUCGGAUUGGGGUCUGCAACCCGACCCCAUGAAGCUGGAUUCGCUAG
rnacentral:rRNA from 1 species